AGUCAGCAGAAACACUGUCAAAGACCACAGCUCUGCACCUAAUGAUGGGCAGAGGAAUGUUUGUUUUCAAUGAAUUCAUUGUGAAAACACAAUCAGUUUUGUGUUUUAAGCUAAAAUAAAAUGUUUACAAUAUAUAAAGGAUAGAGCAAACACAGAACCAGUUACUGGGAAGGACAAGACAGCAAAACCCAGCCUCCUCCUCUCCACCAUGCUGUCUCCCAUGAAGAUCCCAGGUCUUCCAAGGGUAAGGAAAAACAGGCUGAUAAAUGAGGGCUGGCGGCCAGCAACCCUCCCACUGCAGCCAGGCUUUGUCUCCACACCAUAAACACCUCCUUGCUCACAAGAGUUGGACCCUGUUGGGAUCAGCAAACAGCUGCAGCAACAGCAGCAUAUGACCUGCCCAGUUUGUUUAGGUGGCGUGUGUUUGUGAGGAGAAUUUGCUCUGUGGUGUUUUUCUAUAAUGAUUACUUGGAGAAAUGAUGUUAUUUUCAGGGGGUGAGGAAUACCAAAGAGGCUUAUUUGGCAAAAGCCACAAUCUGUUCACUUCUACUUUGUGUGCGUAUGUGAAAAUCCUCACGCUAGUAGCCAGGAUUUUUUGAAUCCACUGGGAAGAGACUCCAAAAACAGGUUGGGGGCAGGAAAACAAAACCCUAGGAUGACAAGCAUGCAAAUUAACACUGAAACCAGGCAAAGGACUAGUCCUGACAGAUGAAAACACUCAAGCCAGCUGUAUG
rnacentral:lncRNA from 1 species